AAAGUAAGGCUUUCUUUUCUUUGAACCAAGAAUGCAAGCUUCGCCAAAAGAGAAGAGCUGGAACCAAGAAAGACUUGGAUUUGGUUUAAUUUAAACUCAGAAUUUAUAAGUGAGAGAAUGAUUGCAGCCUUGGCCUGAUGUACGUAUUUCCAGAAAAAAAAGAAGUUUAGGAUCAAGACUGAAUACUUUCAUUUCUUGCCAUGCCCCCAAGGAUGAGGACUACUGCGAUAAAUCAGAGUGAAAGAACAGUACGCGGGCCUCUCACUGUUGUGGCCUCUCCC